rnacentral:rRNA from 1 species
CUGAUCCUACGGGGCGCAGCAGUGAGGAAUAUUGGUCAAUGGUCGGGAGACUGAACCAGCCAAGCCGCGUGAGGGAGGAAGGUACAGAGUAUCGUAAACCUCUUUUGUCAGGGAACAAAGACUGGGACGCGUCCCCGGGUGAGUGUACCUGAAGAAAAAGCAUCGGCUAACUCCGUGCCAGCAGCCGCGGUAAUACGGAGGAUGCGAGCGUUAUCCGGAUUUAUUGGGUUUAAAGGGUGCGCAGGCGGUCUGUUAAGUCAGCGGUCAAAGCCCGGGGCUCAACCCCGGCCCGCCGUUGAACCUGG